GCUCCGAUAGUGUAGUGGCUAUCACGUGUGCUUCACACGCACAAGGUCCUCAGUUCGAUCCUGAGUCGGAGCA